rnacentral:rRNA from 1 species
UACGUAGGGUGCGAGCGUUAAUCGGAAUUACUGGGCGUAAAGCGUGCGCAGGCGGUUCGCUAAGACCGAUGUGAAAUCCCCGGGCUUAACCUGGGAACUGCAUUGGUGACUGGCGGGCUAGAGUAUGGCAGAGGGGGGUAGAAUUCCACGUGUAGCAGUGAAAUGCGUAGAGAUGUGGAGGAAUACCGAUGGCGAAGGCAGCCUCCUGGGCCAAUACUGACGCUCAUGCACGAAAGCGUGGGGAGCAAACAGG